GGUGUAUGUGCCAUCUUUCUAGGUUAAGCUCCUUUGUGUUGUUGUGCUUAGUGGUCUACUUCUAUCAUCUCGGUGAUCGCCUUUGGUUCUUCGCAUCAAACAGAAGGACAUACAGCCCGACAAUGUGAAUGAAAUCUAUUACAUAGCUAAGCCAUGUGCAAGGGUUAAGUGGGCCAAUCAAUCCAAAAGUUCACACAGACUAGCCAUGUGAC
rnacentral:misc_RNA from 1 species